GUUCUUGAAAAGUGGUGAGAUCGGCUGAGAAGUAGACCUCAUCGGAUGAAGAGAUUCCGCUGGCUCCGACAAUCGCCGUCGUAGAUAUCGAUGAUCUCGCCGGUGAUGAUGUGUUUAAAUACUUGAAUAUGUGUUUGUGGAUGUUGCAAUUUCGACCCCUUGAAAAUGUAGUUUCUUACUUUAGAUGUGAUUAGAAGGUUGUUUGU
rnacentral:lncRNA from 1 species